UACGUAGGGUCCGAGCGUUGUCCGGAAUUAUUGGGCGUAAAGAGCUCGUAGGCGGUCUGUUGCGUCGGUUGUGAAAACCUGGGGCUCAACUCCAGGCCUGCAAUCGAUACGGGCAGACUAGAGUUCGGUAGGGGAGACUGGAAUUCCUGGUGUAGCGGUGAAAUGCGCAGAUAUCAGGAAGAACACCCGUGGCGAAAGCGGCUCUCUGGAACGGUACUGACGCUGAGACGCGAAAGCGUGGGGAGCGAACAGG
rnacentral:rRNA from 1 species